UUGUUUAUAUGGUAGUUUACUAUAAACUAUUCAUAUGAAGCUGGAAGGGAUUGCGGGAUCAAAUCCGUUUGCAAUUUCUUGUGCAUGGUCAUGCCAAGCUUCUCAAGCUUCUCUAAGUCCUUUAUCAUGGUCAAACCAUGAUCAUGGACAGACUGUCCAUCGUGCAUCUUGGCUUUGAAGAGCCUCUUGGACACUUCAAACGGAGCUGCGUGACUCUGAUCACCAUACAACUCUUGCAGGUGAUUUAAUAUGUCCCUGGCAGUCUUCAUGUUCUCAUGUUGGCAUUGUAAUGCAUUGGA
rnacentral:lncRNA from 1 species